rnacentral:rRNA from 1 species
GUUGUUUUUCCAAAAAUCAAUUACGAAUGGCUUGAUUUUGUGUUGUAUUGACCUUAUCAGCUUUCUGCACUUUUUUCGAGUCUUUCUUAAUGCACUUUUUGGUUAACAAGUCAACAUCAAUUUCUUUUGUUGUAAAAGAGUAUUCGGAAGGUGGCUUUCUUUUCGGAGAAAGUGUUUAUAGCCCUAUACUUCUACAAUCGGAGAGAUUGAGGUCUGCAGCGUAGAUCCUUCGGGGUUAGAUACACUUGUGCUAAGUUGUAGCUUUUCAUAGACAACUUGUUGACUAUGUUUAGUCUUGCGGCUUACUCGCUUGUGCUAUUUUACCUAC